UCCGCUCCGACAUGGCAAAAGUGUCCAGCCCUACAGAAACCGAGCGUUGCAUCGAGUCCCUGAUUGCAGUUUUCCAGAAGUAUGCUGGGAAGGACGGGAACCACUGCAGCCUCUCCAAGACUGAGUUCCUAAGCUUCAUGAAUACAGAACUGGCUGCCUUCAUAAAGAGUCAGAAGGACCCCAGCGUCCUUGACCGCAUGAUGAAGAAACUGGACCUCAACAGUGAUGGGCAGCUAGAUUUCCCAGAAUUCCUUAAUCUCAUCGGCGGCUUGGCAGAAGCUUGCCAUGAGUCCUUUACCCAUUCCCGGAAGUUAAUCUGAGGAGCCCUGGGAGCUGGCCUCCAGGCCACCCCUGAGCUGGCACGCCCACCACCCCAUGCAGGCCUCUCCUGCUGGGAGCAAUAAAACAUUAUCGUUUUUUGAAACACACA